AGAACCAUGUAAACAAUGUGUUGACUAAACUAUUUAUAACAUUAACAUUUUAAUGACCUACCUUGCCCUUCUGAGUUCUGUAUAUACAGGUCAAAGUUCCAUGAUGUUAUUCAAUUAGAACCCAUUCAAUUUAAACACCCAUGACCAUCACUCCUCAUCAGCUGCAUCAAAGUGGUACUGAAGGUUCAGUGUUCUAGACUAGAGCACCUAUGGGUGGUCCUGGGAACCAAACCCAUAACGUUGCAGGUGCCAUGUUCUACCAACUGAGCUACAGAGGAACAUGUUUUGUAAAGUCUAAUGUGUAUAUACAGAUUUCUGAUAUGAGUCGGGACGUCUGUCAGGGGACAGACAGGAAAGUAGAAGAGGGAAGUGAUACUGAGUGUGUGCAUUUAAACCAACAAAAUACUUUAUACUAAACACAGGUUAAUACUACUCCUAUACACAACCCACCAUCACUGUGUUUAGGUUAAUACUACUCCUACACAACCCACCAUCACUGUGUUUAGGUUAAUACUACUCCUACACAACCCACCAUCACUGUGUUUAGGUUAAUACUACUCCUAUACACAACCCACCAUCACUGUGUUUAGGUUUAUACUACUCCUACACACAACCCACCAUCACUGUGUUU
ensembl:lncRNA